GACGAACGCUGGCGGCGUGCUUAACACAUGCAAGUCGAACGGAAAGGCCCGGCUUUUGUGGGCUGCCCGUGUGGGGAGCGGGCGAGUGACACGCGAGUAACCUACCCUUGCCUUAGGGGUAACUUAAGGAAACAAGGGAUAACACAUGCUAGGAGCUACUGAAUCACGGCGGGGGUUGGAGAGGUUCGGUGGUUUGGGCUGGUCUGGCGGCUUAUCAGCUUGUUGGUGGGGUAGUGGAUUUCCAAGGCGUUGACGGGUAGCCGGCCUGAGAGGGUGACCGGCCACAUGGGGACUGAGGGAGGGCCCAGACGGCAACGUGCGGCAGCGGUGGAAAAUAUUGCGCAAUGGGCGGAAGCCUGAUGCAGCGACGUCGCGUUCGGAAUGACGGCUUUCGGGGUGUAAACCGCUUUCGCCGAAGACGAAGAGGGAUUGACGGUAACGGGUAAAGAAGCACCGGCUAACUACGUG
rnacentral:rRNA from 1 species